GCCUGGGUGGCUCAGUCGGUUGAGUGUCCGACUUCGGCUCAGGUCAUGAUCUCAUGGUUUGUGGGUUCGAGCCCCGCUUCGGGCU
rnacentral:tRNA from 1 species